rnacentral:rRNA from 1 species
UAGGGAAUCUUCCACAAUGGACGCAAGUCUGAUGGAGCAACGCCGCGUGAGUGAAGAAGGUUUUCGGAUCGUAAAGCUCUGUUGUUGGUGAAGAAGGAUAGAGGUAGAAACUGGCCUUUAUUUGACGGUAAUCAACCAGAAAGUCACGGCUAACUACGUGCCAGCAGCCGCGGUAAUACGUAGGUGGCAAGCGUUGUCCGGAUUUAUUGGGCGUAAAGCGAGCGCAGGCGGAAGAAUAAGUCUGAUGUGAAAGCCCUCGGCUUAACCGAGGAACUGCAUCGGAAACUGUUUUUCUUGAGUGCAGAAGAGGAGAGUGGAAUUCCAUGUGUAGCGGUGGAAUGCGUAGAUAUAUGGAAGAACACCAGUGGCGAAGGCGACUCUCUGGUCUGCAACUGACGCUGAGGCUCGAAAGCAUGGGUAGCGAACAGG